rnacentral:rRNA from 1 species
CGUGUAGGCGGUUGGUCAAGUCUGGUGUGAAAGCCCGGGGCUUAGCUCCGGAAGUGCACUGGAAACUAGCCAACUUGAGCGCGAUAGAGGAGGGUGGAAUUCCUGGUGUAGCGGUGAAAUGCGUAGAUAUCAGGAGGAACACCGGCGGCGAAGGCGGCCCUCUGGAUCGUUGCUGACGCUGAGACGCGAAAGCGUGGGGAGCAAACAGGAUUAGAUACCCUGGUAGUCCACGCUGUAAACUAUGGGUACUAGGUGUUCGGGGUGUUGACCCCCUGAGUGCCGACGCUAACGCAUUAAGUACCCCGCCUGGGGACUACGGCCGCAAGGCUAAA